GCUGCUGAUAUGGCUAAUAUUGAAUCGUCGAGUGUUGCAAGAGAAGCUGCAAUACAUAGUGCAGCUAUUAGGUGUCCUCCAAUGGUGUCUCGCUUCCAGUUAUCAUAUGAUCUUGCAGUCUCGUUAUGUUCUAGGUAGGAGAUGUGGCAUUGUCCAUAUUGCACAGUAUGGUAGCCGCUCAUUCAGGUAUAGAUGAUGCUGGAGAGAUUGUUACACCAACCCCCAGAGUAAAGAGGAUCUUGUCAAGCUCACGUUGUCUUCCACAUAUUGCACAAGCAAUGCUUUCUGGUGAACCAACUAUUGUUGAUGCUGUUGCUCUUCUCU